GGGGGUAAAGCUAAAUGAAUCCUCACAACCAUCAUAGGACACACAUAUAUGAACAAAAUACAAUUAAGAAAAUUUGAGCUAUAUCCCCAGCUAUAAUCAUAUUUUUUACCAUUAGUGACAUGCAGACCAUAAUCAUAUCACAAGAGUUAAAUAUUCUUCAUGUUCAGUACCAACAGAUCUCAUCUUAUAUUGUGAAUUUGACCAUCCAAUCUAAGAUUUAUGCCACAUUAUUCUAUACUGAGAUUCAAGCAUGCACAAAUAAAAGGAAUCCUUUAAAAUUUGAUGCUGAUUAUGAACAACUGGUACUUUAAUU
rnacentral:misc_RNA from 1 species